rnacentral:rRNA from 1 species
GACGAACGCUGGCGGCGUGCCUAAUACAUGCAAGUGGGACGCAAGAGAACACACUGUGCUUGCACACCGUGUUUUCUUGAGUCGCGAACGGGUGGGUAACGCGUAGGUAACCUUCCUAUUAGCGGGGGAUAACUAUUGGAAACGAUAGCUAAUACCGCAUAAUAUUAAUUAUUGCAUGAUAAUUGAUUGAAAGAUGCAAGCGCAUCACUAGUAGAUGGACCUGCGUUGUAUUAGCUAGUUGGUAAGGUAAGAGCUUACCAAGGCGACGAUACAUAGCCGACCUGAGAGGGUGAUCGGCCACACUGGGACUGAGACACGGCCCAGACUCCUACGGGAGGCAGCAGUAGGGAAUCUUCGGCAAUGGACGAAAGUCUGACCGAGCAACGCCGCGUGAGUGAAGAAGGUUUUCGGAUCGUAAAGCUCUGUUGUAAGUCAAGAACGUGUGUGAGAGUGGAAAGUUCACACAGUGACG